rnacentral:tRNA from 1 species
GUUCCUGUAGCGCAAUGGAUAGCGCGUUGGACUUCUAAUCCAAAGGUCGUGGAUUUGAAUCUCACCCGGAAUG